GGGAAGGUGGCUCAGUGGUAGAGCACUUGCCUUGCAUACUUGAGGCCCUGGGUUCGAUUCCUCAGCCCCA
rnacentral:tRNA from 1 species